GGGGAAUAUUGCACAAUGGGCGAAAGCCUGAUGCAGCAACGCCGCGUGAGUGAUGAAGGUCUUCGGAUUGUAAAGCUCUGUCUUUUGGGACGAUAAUGACGGUACCAAAGGAGGAAGCCACGGCUAACUACGUGCCAGCAGCCGCGGUAAUACGUAGGUGGCGAGCGUUGUCCGGAUUUACUGGGCGUAAAGGGUGCGUAGGCGGAUGUUUAAGUGAGAUGUGAAAUACCCGGGCUUAACUUGGGUGCUGCAUUUCAAACUGGAUAUCUAAAGUGCAGGAGAGGAGAAUGGAAUUCCUAGUGUAGCGGUGAAAUGCGUAGAGAUUAGGAAGAACACCAGUGGCGAAGGCGAUUCUCUGGACUGUAACUGACGCUGAGGCACGAAAGCGUGGGUAGCAAACAGGAUUAGAUACCCUGGUAGUCCACGCCGUAAACGAUGAGUACUAGGUGUAGGAGGUAUCGACCCCUUCUGUGCCGCAGUAAACACAUUAAGUACUCCGCCUGGGAAGUACGAUCGCAAGAUUAAAAC
rnacentral:rRNA from 1 species